rnacentral:rRNA from 1 species
CGGGUGAGUAAUGUCUGGGAAACUGCCUGAUGGAGGGGGAUAACUGCUGGAAACGGUAGCUAAUACCGCAUAACGUCGCAAGACCAAAGAGGGGGACCUUCGGGCCUCUUGCCAUCGGAUGUGCCCAGAUGGGAUUGGCUAGUAGGUGGGGUAACGGCUCACCUAGGCGACGAUCCCUAGCUGGUCUGAGAGGAUGACCAGCCACACUGGAACUGAGACACGGUCCAG